UGUUAGUGGGGGAUAGCCCCGGGCGAAACCCGGAUUAAUACCGCAUAACGUUNUGCGGAGGAAAGCGGGGGGAUCCUUCGGGGACCUCGCGCUACAGGGGCGGCCGAUGGCAGAUUAGCUAGUUGGUGGGGUAAAGGCCUACCAAGGCGACGAUCUGUAGCUGGUCUGAGAGGACGACCAGCCACACUGGGACUGAGACACGGCCCAGACUCCUACGGGAGGCAGCAGUGGGGAAUUUUGGACAAUGGGCGCAAGCCUGAUCCAGCAAUGCCGCGUGUGUGAAGAAGGCCUUCGGGUUGUAAAGCACUUUUGUCCGGAAAGAAAACCUCGUGGUUAAUACCCGUGGGGGAUGACGGUACCGGAAGAAUAAG
rnacentral:rRNA from 1 species